ensembl:misc_RNA
UUGACAGCCACGGAGCCAGAAGCCCUCUGUUAAUCCACAGAACAGGUUCAGCACAGGUGGCAGGACACCAGACUUCCCCAAACGGCUUCGCCCCGGUGUGCCUGAACCCUUUCCUAGUGGGAGCUCCUCCAGGGCUGGGGGCACAGGUCAGGUUCUACAUUUCUCCUUACAUUACCAGU